UGCGUAGGGUGCGAGCGUUGUCCGGAAUUAUUGGGCGUAAAGGGCUCGUAGGCGGUUUGUCGCGUCGGGAGUGAAAACCUUGGGCUUAACUCAGGGCUUGCUUUCGAUACGGGCAGACUAGAGGUAUGCAGGGGAGAACGGAAUUCCUGGUGUAGCGGUGAAAUGCGCAGAUAUCAGGAGGAACACCGGUGGCGAAGGCGGUUCUCUGGGCAUGAUCUGACGCUGAGGAGCGAAAGUGUGGGGAGCGAACAGG
rnacentral:rRNA from 1 species